rnacentral:rRNA from 1 species
UGCGUAACGCGUAUAGAACCUACCUUUUACAGAGGAAUAGCCUUUAGAAAUGAAGAUUAAUGCCUCAUAGUAUUGUAGACUGGCAUCAGUUUAUAAUUAAAGAUUUAUCGGUAAAAGAUGGCUAUGCGUCCUAUUAGUUAGUUGGUAAGGUAACGGCUUACCAAGACAGCGAUAGGUAGGGGUCCUGAGAGGGAGAUCCCCCACACUGGUACUGAGACACGGACCAGACUCCUACGGGAGGCAGCAGUGAGGAAUAUUGGACAAUGGAGGAGACUCUGAUCCAGCCAUGCCGCGUGUAGGAAGAAUGCCCUAUGGGUUGUAAACUACUUUUAUACAGGAAGAAACACUGGUAUGUAUACCAGCUUGACGGUACUGUAAGAAUA